GACGUAGGGUCCAAGCGUUGUUCGGAUUUACUGGGCGUAAAGGGCGCGUAGGCGGCCAGCACAAGUCAGUUGUGAAAUCUCCGAGCUUAACUCGGAAAGGUCAACUGAUACUGUGCGGCUAGAGUGCGGAAGGGGCAACUGGAAUUCUUGGUGUAGCGGUGAAAUGCGCAGAUAUCGGGAGGAACACCAGUAGCGAAGGCGGCUCGCUGGGCCACACCUGACGCUGAGACGCGAAAGCUAGGGGAGCGAACAGG
rnacentral:rRNA from 1 species